CGACAAGGUUAGAAGACGGUGAAGUAAGGGUGCCUCCUGCCAGCGAUAUUCUCAGAGAAGGCUGGAAAGGGGAGGGAAGAAGGUGCCCCAGUAGGGGAAAUCAAAAUGCUACCUCCCUGCAGAAAGGGGAAAGUGAUUCUGUCGACAGUGGAGCUCAGGGGGGAUCUGCUCCAGCAGGAGCAGCUCCAAGAUCUCACUGCUUACUGAAGCCAGUACCAAGCCCUCACCCUUGUUUCAAGGCUCCCCGUACUAGGUCUCCCACCUAACUGCAGGAGUGCUUUGUGGGAAAUAAAGCGGAGUGGCAUGAGGCAUCUUCAAGGAACCAUCAAGAGCAAUGGAAAAAAUAUUCUCAGGUGAGGAUUAACAGAAAAACAAAACAAAGAGGUAAAGGGUGGAUCCUCUUAUCUCCAGAGCUGGGGUCCUGAACUGUCAGCCUGCGAGACAAAUGUGCCCGCGCGUCCCUGGCUUUGACUUAAGCCAGGUGAGGCCCUUCCCAGAUCUGAGAUGGACCUUUCACAGCCGCAUCAGCAGGAGGCCCCGCAUGGAUCGUGCCUUUGAGCGGCUGAGACCUCAGCAGACAGGAGUACAUGUGCUGCCUUACAAACUGUCCCCUUUGGGAUUUGAAUAU